rnacentral:rRNA from 1 species
GUAGUCAUAUGCUUGUCUCAAAGAUUAAGCCAUGCAUUGUCUCAGUACUUGCUUUAUCAAGGCGAAACCGCGAAUGGCUCAUUAAAUCAGUUAUGGUUCACUAGAUCGUAUUCAUUACAUGGAUAACUGUGGUAAUUCUAGAGCUAAUACAUGCACUCAGCUCGGCUGCCUUGUGCAGCGAGCGCAGUUAUUAGAACAAAACUAAUCCGGCCUCGGUCGGUAAACUUGGUGACUCUGAAUAACCGAAGCGGAGCGCUAAGGUCUCGUACCGGCGCCAGAUCUUUCAAGUGUCUGACUUAUCAGCUUGUAGCGAGGUUAUGUUCCUCGCUUGGCUCUCACGGGUGACGGGGAAUUAGGGUCCGAUUCCGGAGAGGGAGCCUGAGAAACGGCUACCACAUCCAAGGAAGGCAGCAGGCGCGCAAAUUACCCAAUCCCACUUCGGGGAGGUAGUGACAAUAAAUACUGAUGCAGGGCUCUUUUGGGUCUUGCAAUUGGAAUGAGUACAAUCUAAAUCUCUUAACGAGGAACAAUUGGGGGGCAAGUCUGGUGCCAGCAGCC